rnacentral:rRNA from 1 species
UACGUAGGGGGCGAGCGUUGUCCGGAAUUAUUGGGCGUAAAGAGCUCGUAGGUGGCCUGUCGCGUCGGCUGUGAAAACUCGGGGCUCAACUCCGAGCUUGCAGUCGAUACGGGCAGGCUAGAGUUCGGCAGGGGAGACUGGAAUUCCUGGUGUAGCGGUGAAAUGCGCAGAUAUCAGGAGGAACACCGGUGGCGAAGGCGGGUCUCUGGGCCGUUACUGACGCUGAGGAGCGAAAGCGUGGGGAGCGAACAGG